AAUAAAAGAAGCUGUAGAAGAUUUGCUGUACUUAAAGUUAUCCGGAUCAUGAAAUUUAAGGGAGAGAAAGCAGGCGUGGCUCUGUACAUAUGAUUGAUCUUGUUGGAGCUUUUCUGCUACCAAUAUUUUGAUUAUUGUUUACAAAUUUGUUGUCAUCUUUAACAAAUCCAAUUAACACUUGUGUCAGGUGUUGUUCUUGGUUUGAAUUUAAUACAAGCUAUAGCACUUCUUGUGACUGAUUUAAUGGAUGACAGUAGACAUGUUGCAUGCAACUACAGUUUUCAAUAGCUUUAGCUAAGAUGAAGUAAUACCCUGGCUAAAAACGUUCAACCAAACUCAAUGUUAAUUUAUUCAUCUACUAA